GGCUCGAUAGCUCAGUUGGAAGAGCGUCCGCCUGAAAAGCGGAAGGUCACCGGAUCGACGCCGGUUCGAGCCA
rnacentral:tRNA from 1 species